UCUUCACGAUCGCGAUGCCGAUAAGAGUUAAGCUCAGUUUAAGUGAUAUUUGAUACAAGCCUUGUUCGCCUAUUUAGUGUCGACUUACGAAUUAAAUUACCAGUAAGCAAUAUAGGGAAGCAAAUUUAGUUUUACAGCAACGAUUAUUCCCCAGACGCAUGUAUUCUAGCCUGACGUGUGAAUGUGUGCUGAAUAGAUUUUCCAUCGGAUAUACAGUCUCGUGGAACGCUUUUUGCGUUUCGCGCAGAUUCUGAGCCACUGUGGCGUCUGAUAUAUAUUGGAGUGUGCUUCUGUAAAUUGCGCAUGGAGGUACAUUCGUAGCCAUGCCAUACGCUGUAAGUGAUAGUACCACGAAUGCUUGAGCUUUUUGGCUAUGACAAUGUUAAAGGACGAGAACAAAUCAGAGUUUCAACAAUGGCUCUUUCUGGCGCUCUGGGCAUCGGACAAUGGUAGGAGUUGUAAAGCAGUUUGCGAAAUAGAUGUUAACAGACAGCGAGAAACGAUACGCCAUAAAGCAGCGAUUAAAGCUAUCACAGAUUUGAGAUAUGCUGUAGUUAUUUGACUGGGGCUGGGCGUUGGAAUUGUUUCCAGCAUUUAUUUUCAGCACAGAAAGAUAAGAGACGUUAUUAGUCCCAUACAGUGCCCUUAGGUGGUUCCUCAGUGCUCGUUAAAUUUCGUGACAAUGACCGCAAAUUGUUUUAAUCAUAGAAAGACGAACGUAGGCGUAAUUAACCACACAUGUCCUGUGCCCGCAACACACACUAUAUAUCAUUCAGCCGAAAGACCACUCAUCUAUGUAAUGCACAACUAGACUAGAUUCAUCACUUGUCUAAAUAUCUUUGUCGCCGAAUUUUUGAACGGCCAUCGCUAGCCUCACAUACGCUGAAUAUGUAGGUUAUCUACGCCAGGGAGACAGUAUGACGCGGUUCAUCAUAUUGCCGUGUUGUUUGCCUUCCUUUUAACCCUCAAUUGUUCAGCCUGAAUGUAAUUCACUGUGUGAACUUGAACUUUAUUUAUCAGGGUAUGGGGCAUGCUCAGGGUAUGCUGUGCUUGUUACGGGGGAAUUCCAGGCAGAGCGGAUUGAAUGAUCGAUGAUACGAUCCUGUCGUUCUUGUCUGCGGGGCGACAGGACUGAAGGGUUGCGUGACGAAAGCUAGUCCUUCUACGCACAACUACCGUAAAUACCGGAGUAUAGAUUUGUCUCUGCACCUCAUGGCAGAUGUAGUUGUAGUUUGCCUAAAGCUAAAGAAGUAGUUAAUGUGUAGCACGUUAACUAACUCCUGAGCAUCAUUCAUGUUUAGGUAGCGCUCUUUCAAUGCACCUGGCUGUUCGUUCGCACCUAAGAUAUUACUUUCAUUUCGGACUCUCUAGUUCGAACUGUUGUUGCGACGUUUUCGAGAAGUUAAAGCCGUCGUAAAGAAAAGCAGCCUAAUCUGUAUACGAUCACUGCAACGUCGUCUACAAGAGUAUUUGGGCGCUUCAUAUUUUAGUGCUAUGAUAUCAUUUCUUUAUUUUCGUUUCCGAACACUCUACGUUCUUAUAGGAGCGUAUAACUAAGCUAUCGUUUUUGAUGACGUUUUCAAAAUGUAGAGCAUCGCAGGUCAGGCACAUUUCGCAAGAUUUAAUACUGCCGCACAACUUGUAUUCCUCAACAUCAGAUUACGACGAGGAUUGCGCCAAAUUAUCAGGUCUCACACUUUACAAAAUUCUAGAUUUUGAGGACAACUGGUCUAUACGCUAUCGUGCGCUCACUUCUGUUGCCGGCUCACGUGCUGGCAAGCACUCGCCACCGCAAAUUAGUUGCUCAUCUCACAACACCGCGCUUAAUCUAUUGCUAGAAUCUAUCAAAUAAGGCAUCUCCACUGACAUAUUUGGAAGUAACAGGUGCGAUUGCUGACUGCGUAUACUUUAAACAGGGUAAAGGCGUUUCCCGAACGUAUUCAAGAAAGAAGUGCCAACAAUAACACGAUAAUAAUUGUCACUACAACACUGCGCACAUAACUGCCUUUGAUCAAGUAUGAUUGUAUCAACUAGAUUAUAUUUGUAUAAAAAAAUCUAACGUUUGAUAUGCAAGCAUUACAAUUACUGGUAUGGGUACAUGAUGACAGCAUGUGACAUUGUUUCUUUCCCUUGAACGUCGCACAUCUUUUUUCUGGGAUGUCAUGGAGCCAACACUGCUCACUUGUGCAGCUUAUGACAUUCAACAAUGAGGCGGGAACUGAUUGAAUUUUUGUCACAUCAGACUGCUUCGAAGCUGGUAUUCAGACGAACACGCAAGCAUCCACUCGUCAGUGUUCAGUACUUGCAAUCCUUCUGUUGUACAAGUUGCCAAAUUUUUGCAUAACUUAUCCGUGCACGGCAUAUUGUCACCAUUACCUUCCCUUUUCCUCUAUGCAAUUGGUCGAUUACUCCUGCGACGCCCCGGCAACGGCUACGGCCGCCGACAUUACAAGGCGACGAUAUUGUCAAGCUCUCACGCAGUUGACAAAUCAUCCCCCGCGUGCCAAACGUUAUGCUUGCCAGGUUUACAUGUAACGAGAACACGUCUUCGGCAUCCUCUGUUUGCCAUUACAUCUUUUCAACAAUCGUGCAAGGAAACCUAGCCUUUCUUCUUUGGUUCUUGAACUGAAACUGAUCUGGCUAUGGCGAUCAGAAAAGCGGUUUUUAUUUAACGCAUUACGCUACGUUUUAAUCAUCAAGAAGGGCUGACAGCCCUGCUUGAAGACGGCGAUAUUUUUUCAGUUUUCUUCUUUUUGUCAGCACAUCAUCACAAAAACGCGCCUUUCGCGGCUGUAUGAAACAACACUUCCUCAGAGAUUUCUCAUGCACGCUACGACUUUCCCAAGACGAGCAGGUCUCGAGGGUCUUUUCAUUGCUACUAGCGACAGCAAUUUUCCAAUUUUUUUUUUGCUGCUAGCUAGAGCGGGUUAGCUAAGAAUCGUAUUCAGACAGGCUAGGUGACAAUUUGUCACCGCCUCGUUUCGAAGGGGAUGCCAAUAAAUCAUCAUCAUCAUCAUCGUCAGGGCUGGCUUUUUCGCGACCUCUUGGGGCGCUUGAACUGUUUUAAGCGCACUCACAUCAAAUGCGCGCAUAUAUGCUCGCCUAAACAAUACCGAGAUACGUACGGAAGCCAGAAUUGUCGAGCAACGCAUGCUAGUCUAUAUAUUAGGUAUUUUUCUCAACAGAGUCACAAUAUGUAGCCUUACAUACAUACAUAUAUAUAUUGCUCUGUAGUCUCUCAUUUUACACUGCGCACAGGUUGCACAGCGUAUCGUGAACUUAUAGUAAGCAACACGUUAUAGCAAGCACUAUACUCACGCACGUGUCUUCCUAGCAGCACAUUUUACUCACAAGCGCACACUGUUAGUUGAUCCAGUUAACAAUGACGACAGAAGGAUGCCCCAGAAUACUACCAGAACAGCUGGGUAUCUUGUCGUGGCAACAAAGUUUUGCUUUCUUAAUGGCUAGUCGUUGAAGUUAAGCUGCAAACACAUGGUACGGUUAUGGCAUGUCAUCCCACGUACGACUGGCACCAGUAGCGUAACACUACCGCUACUACUACUACUAGUUGUUUACUAAUACUACUACAACUAGCGUACUUGUCUACUUGUGCCAGCAACUGCGUGCGAAAAGUUGCCGCUAGGUUCCAGCAGGUAACAUCAGUCCAAGACGCUGUCUUUCCUACGCACCGCGGAUCACACCAGGGUUCUAUUGUACAGUGCGCCUCUUGAUACUUUCCAAAAGCACGGUGAAAAAUCACGUCGCGGGAUUUACACAUUGUUGGGACAACGACAUAAUUGGCCUCGUCGUCACGACAAAACAUCCGACAUUGAACAUGGGUUGCUGUAAUCAAAAGUAAGCUUGUUCCUCUGUUUGGACAAUUCGUGUCGUUAGGUUUAGUGUUGACAACCGAAGUUCUGUCGUGACCACAGAAAACUACGUCGCCACCACUGGACGUCAGAUUCACUGACACGAAUGUUUGCCCAAUUUUGUGACAUUCCUAAACGUGCACUCCAGUUGCGGACACCGUAAAACUUGGUCCUCACGGCGAGAUAUCAAACUCACGACUUGAUUUCACGACCACGGGAUGUCAUGGUGUACUACAGGAACUUUCGUUUCUGUAAGAGCUUCCAUCAUGAGUUCCUUCAUGAGGACGGCAAUAUUUACGCAAAAUCAUAAUGAGAGUGCCUUUUGUUAGGGCCGAAAAUUUCUUCUCACCUCUUUCGAUGCUGAAAUGUUGAGGAAAACUAGAUGCGUAAACAUUUGAUUGUUUUGAUAUCUACACGUAAAUAAGCAAAUGAGAGAGAGUUCCGAACGAUACCUUGUCACGCUGGAGAUCUGUCUGUCGACAUUAUCGAGGCUUAGGAGAUAACCGCGCGGGCGGUAUGACCGUUAGUUCGUCUGAUGCGACUAUUAUGUCAGCAAUCUUUCUCCAUCAGUGCAUGCGACAGCCCACCACACUGCGGACCAUUCUGGACAACACGUGAGCGGCGAUGCUUUACGAGAUGAACAUGACACACUUGGGAGCGCACCAAACACCACAUCAUCGCUGCAAGAAUUGUAACGUGCAUCGCACCUUAAGCAUGUCUUAAAAUAAUUAUUUCGAACAGUAUUGAGUAAUUAUAUCAAAGGAUGAACAUAAUCGAGUCAUGGCACCGAGCGGCUGACCAUUAAUUACAUCUGUCUUCAGCGUUGAACGCUUCCCAAAUGUGACAUUCCUAUAGCUGUUCUCUGCAGCAACUUUCACGUGAUUGGCAUAGUUGCGGUUGUGAGUCAGAGAGCACUGGUCUCACGCCCGCUUAAGAUACCUUGUGCAAAAAGUUUUUUUUUUUUUUUUAGGGGGGGGGGGGGGGUCCAUAUCUUAUGCGCGAUGCUCCUACUACUACAGUGCUGUAUGGCGUGUGCGAAGAAUCUAAGAAAGAAUAGACGCAGUCGAGCCAGUUGAGCAAAGCCCGACGCCGUACUUUGUGGGCACUUUAUUUCCCUGGAUUAGAUUAGACGCUUUGUCGCGGUAAUUCAGCGCUCUCAUCUCAGCAUGACACUGGGCAAUGAACCACCUUGUGCCUCAAGACUGAAAAAUUUGACUUGCGCGUAUGGCGCCACUUGAACUGAUGUUGAGCCGCUCCCUUGUGAGCAGGGCUGCAGCGCACUUCUUUGUGAUGUUGAAAAUACUACGUCUAAGCAGACUUCCAUAUCAGAAUCUGUAUCUCACAUGGUAUAUCUUAAGAUAUCGUGACCUUCCCAUGUGUCUUUAAUACGCGUUUGAGAAAGUGCAAUUCUUGUUGUUCUGUCAAUUGUUGGAACCACGCAAAUGCCUUUAAAUGACGCGUUUAUCUAUUUGAUGUCAUAAGGUAAUCACGCUAUACUAUUGCCUGUGCUCCCGCGUUCGCGUUUGCUUUGCGGAGAGAGAUCUCAAAACUUGUACAAUGAUGAUAGCGAUGAUGAUUACCUUAACAAGCCCAUAUUUGGGGCUAGACCUAGAACCAGGUGACAUUAUGAUAACAUAUAAGUGAACAUGAAUUGUACAAAAUGAUGAGAUGCUCUCGCUUCCCGCCUGCUUCAUCCCCCGCGGAUCACAGCUGUUGUUCACUGACAAUGUGUUCCCGAUGUAUGUUGUUGUGGCUGUUUGUUUACUUUUUUUGAGAUUGCUGCUACUUUGCAACUUUUUUUGUUUUUUCUGUGUGUUCCUGUGAUGUACCCAUUUUGCUGUUCCCCCGUUCAAUGCAUUAAAUUAUGCUGCUGAAAUGCGA